UAGCUCAACUGGUUAGAGCAAGGGACUGAAAAUCCUUGUGUCAGUGGUUUGAAUCCACU
rnacentral:tRNA from 1 species